UACGUAGGUGGCAAGCGUUGUCCGGAAUUAUUGGGCGUAAAGCGCGCGCAGGCGGUCCUUUUAAGUCUGAUGUGAAAGCCCACGGCUCAACCGUGGAGGGUCAUUGGAAACUGGGGGGACUUGAGUGCAGGAGAGAAGAGUGGAAUUCCACGUGUAGCGGUGAAAUGCGUAGAGAUGUGGAGGAACACCAGUGGCGAAGGCGACUCUUUGGCCUGUAACUGAGCUGAGGCGCGAAAGCGUGGGGAGCAAACAGG
rnacentral:rRNA from 1 species